rnacentral:rRNA from 1 species
ACAUGCAAGUCGAGGGGUAACAGAAGUAGCAAUACUUGCUGACGACCGGCGCACGGGUGAGUAACGCGUAUGCAACCUACCUUUGACUGGAGAAUAGCCCGAAGAAAUUCGGAUUAAUGCUCCAUGAGACCACAAUACCGCAUGAUAUAGUGGUAAAAGCUCCGGCGGUCAAAGAUGGGCAUGCGUGCCAUUAGUUAGUUGGUGAGGUUACGGCUCACCAAGACAACGAUGGCUAGGGGGUCUGAGAGGAUGAUCCCCCACACUGGUACUGAGACACGGACCAGACUCCUACGGGAGGCAGCAGGGAGGAAUAUUGGUCAAUGGACGCAAGUCUGAACCAGCCAUGCCGCGUGCAGGAUGAAUGCCCUAUGGGUUGUAAACUGCUUUUCUACAAGAAGAAACUUCCUGAUGUAUCAGGAACUGACGGUAUUGUAGGAAUAAGCAUCGGCUAACUCCGUGCCAGCAGCCGCGGUAAUACGGAGGAUGCAAGCGUUAUCCGGAUUCAUUGGGUUCAAAGGGUGCGUAC